GUAUAAGAUUUAUAGGCACAAAGGCCCACUUAUUACAUUCUAUAACUAGUGUAUAUUGAAGGAACAUAGACCUGAAAAUGUAAAGAAAGACAAUAAAGUCAAUCCUCAAACCUGACAUGCUACAAAAGCAUUCAGAAAGAUAUCCAAGUCUACAAAAGGUGCACAGGUGGAAAUAUAAAAAUGACAAGUGUGCACAUGUUCCCUAGAGAACCAGCAGCAACUCAUCAGGUUUAUUUCAAUAAUGAUCCUUCCGCAGGUUCACCUACGGAAA
rnacentral:misc_RNA from 1 species